GUGUCAGCAGCCGCGGUAAUACGGAGGGUGCAAGCGUUAUCCGGAUUCACUGGGUUUAAAGGGUGUGUAGGCGGGCUGUUAAGUCAGUGGUGAAAUCUCCAGGCUCAACCUGGAAACUGCCAUUGAUACUAUCAGUCUUGAAUUUUGUUGAGGUAGGCGGAAUAUGUCAUGUAGCGGUGAAAUGCUUAGAUAUGACAUAGAACACCGAUUGCGAAGGCAGCUUACUAAACAAAUAUUGACGCUGAGGCACGAAAGCGUGGGGAUCAAACAGGAUUAGAAACCCUUGUAGUCC
rnacentral:rRNA from 1 species